rnacentral:tRNA from 1 species
GCCGGUUUAGCUCAAUUGGUAGAGCAACUGACUUGUAAUCAGUAGGUUGGGGGUUCAAGUCUUCUAGCCGGCACCA